rnacentral:rRNA from 1 species
CUACUCUUGACAUCCUCAGAAGAGACUGGAGACAGUCUUGUGCCUUCGGGAACUGAGAGACAGGUGCUGCAUGGCUGUCGUCAGCUCGUGUUGUGAAAUGUUGGGUUAAGUCCCGCAACGAGCGCAACCCUUAUCCUUGUUUGCCAGCGAGUCAUGUCGGGAACUCCAGGGAGACUGCCGGUGAUAAACCGGAGGAAGGUGGGGACGACGUCAAGUCAUCAUGGCCCUUACGAGUAGGGCUACACACGUGCUACAAUGGCGCAUACAGAGGGCGGCCAACUUGCGAAAGUGAGCGAAUCCCAAAAAGUGCGUCGUAGUCCGGAUUGGAGUCUGCAACUCGACUCCAUGAAGUCGGAAUCGCUAGUAAUCGUAGAUCAGAAUGCUACGGUGAAUACGUUCCC